AAUGGUCUAGGUUAUUUUUUGACUGUCUGUUUUCAAAACAGAAGGGGGCUUUGUAAGCCGUCCGUUG
rnacentral:tRNA from 1 species